CUGUUACUAUAUACAUGUAGAUGAUAUUGACUUUACCUUUGUCCAGUGCAUAUAUAAUGAAUAAACCUUUGUGAUGUAAAAAUAUUGUUCCAAGACUUAACCAUCCCAGUUAAUGUUUUAAAUCCUUGAGUUUAAUAAUUUUUACAUCUUUUGUGUUACCCUGAAUACUUUUUACUUAUUCAUUUGUUAUAACAGCUUGCAUUAAAUAAUG
rnacentral:lncRNA from 1 species